rnacentral:lncRNA from 1 species
AUAAAGUGUUCAUGCCUUUGUGCUUUCUUCUCAAGUUCUUUGUUCAUGUAACAAAGAAACAAGCACUAAGUGUUUGUAUUGACUAAGAGUUGUUCAAAGCAACUCCUAUUUCUUCAUACAACAAAUUGUAAUUGAAGAAUUAUGACAUUAAAAAUGUUGUCCUCUUUAUGAUAGACCUUUUCUAACAUAUUCUUCUAAUGAUAUAUUAUCAAUAGUAAGAUUGUGAGGAUGAGACUACUUUGGUACUUUUACAAGCCAUUAAAGACAAUCUAUGGUUUUGUAGUACCAAGUCCGUAAACUAAAUGUUCGGCUUU